rnacentral:rRNA from 1 species
CCUACGGGGGGCUGCAGUGGGGAAUAUUGCACAAUGGGGGAAACCCUGAUGCAGCGACGCCGCGUGUGUGAAGAAGUAUUUCGGUAUGUAAAGCUCUAUCAGCAGGGAAGAAAAUGACGGUACCUGAGUAAGAAGCCCCGGCUAACUACGUGCCAGCAGCCGCGGUAAUACGUAGGGGGCAAGCGUUAUCCGGAUUUACUGGGUGUAAAGGGAGCGUAGACGGCUAAUCAAGUCAGAAGUGAAAAGCCAGGGCUCAACCUGGGGACUGCUCUGGAAACUGAGUAGCUUGAGUGCAGGAGAGGUAAGCGGAAUUCCUAGUGUAGCGGUGAAAUGCGUAGAUAUUAGGAGGAACACCAGUGGCGAAGGCGGCUUACUGGACUGUAACUGACGCUGAUGCACGAAAGUGUGGGGAGCGAACAGGAUUAGAUACCCUUGUAGUC